rnacentral:rRNA from 1 species
AGUGAACGCUGGCGGUAGGCCUAACACAUGCAAGUCGAACGGCAGCACAGUAAGAGCUUGCUCUUACGGGUGGCGAGUGGCGGACGGGUGAGGAAUACAUCGGAAUCUACUUUUUCGUGGGGGAUAACGUAGGGAAACUUACGCUAAUACCGCAUACGACCUACGGGUGAAAGCAGGGGAUCUUCGGACCUUGCGCGAUUGAAUGAGCCGAUGUCGGAUUGGCUAGUUGGCGGGGUAAAGGCCCACCAAGGCGACGAUCCGUAGCUGGUCUGAGAGGAUGAUCAGCCACACUGGAACUGAGACACGGUCCAGACUCCUACGGGAGGCAGCAGUGGGGAAUAUUGGACAAUGGGCGCAAGCCUGAUCCAGCCAUACCGCGUGGGUGAAGAAGGCCUUCGGGUUGUAAAGCCCUUUUGUUGGGAAAGAAAAGCAGCAGGUUAAUACCCCGCUGUUCUGGCGGUACCCAAAGAAUAAGCACCGGCUAACUUCGUG